rnacentral:lncRNA from 1 species
AGGUCUUGUGGAGAUAUAUGCCAAAGAAGACAGUUUCAUCUUUACAGUUGAAUCCACUGGUGCGAUCAAAGCUUCUCAGUUGGUUCUUAAUGCUAUAGAAAUCCUGAAACAGAAGCUGGAUGCAGUUCGCCUGUCUGAGGAUACUGUGGAAGCUGAUGAUCAGUUUGGUGAACUAGGUGCCCAUAUACGAGGAGGAUGAUCUGCUUGUAAUUAUGAACUAGCCAUUGACAUUUGUAGGUUUCAGAAAAGGCGUGUUUACAUCUAACUAACUUCCUUUUGUUUAAAACUCUUGAGAUAUUUUGGGUAGAACAGACUACUUGUUUUCCUCAAUGAAAAUUGUCAGCUAUAUGCCAUCUGUUUUAAACUUAAAAGCCAGCAAAGCAUGGACUGGCAAAUGAUUUAGCCUGUAGCUUAUUACUUUGUCCAAACUAUCAGCCUUUGUAUUUAUGUUUCUGCUUUGUUGUUUCUUCCCACCAGUGAUUCAUCAGUGAGCUUUUAGCUGGUUGAAAUGUAUAGUAGCAUUUCGCUUUUUGCCUCUAUUGUAUGUCGAGAUUAAGUUUCCCUUUGGCUUCGUCAAGUUGUCAUCUAGGUUUAAAAAUGGUGGCUACAACUACAGUAGAAACUUAUAUGACUACAACUUUAUUACUCCAUUCUUAUUCUGCUUCUCUAGAAUUAAAUUGACGGUCAAACUGAUCAAACCAUCAAUUUUCGGUUCAAUGAGUUCGUCCAUCUUUAAUCACAAGUUCAAUUAAUUUUUUUCUUGGUUCAACUGAUUUACACUUAUUUGUGAAUCAAUUGAUCUAAUUUGAACCGAUACAGUUGAAACUAAAUUUUACUUAAUUUAUGUAAAUCUUGGCGGUCCAAGAAUUCUCUUAUCAACUUAAACAUGAAACAAGCCAAAAUAAUACAAUGACAUGUUUAAUAAUCGUCUUCCUUGGCACGUAUGUUUGGAACUCGGAUUGAGUGUUUAUGCAGAAUAUAAUUCUCAAGUUAUAUUUUGAUUUUAGUNNNNNNNNNNNNNNNNNNNNNNNNNNNNNNNNNNNNNNNNNNNNNNNNNNNNNNNNNNNNNNNNNNNNNNNNNNNNNNNNNNNNNNNNNNNNNNNNNNNNAAGAUUACUAUUACGCCUCUAUUCCAUUACAUUCAACCAAACAGUUGAUUUGCUAUUACACCUCUAUUCCAUUACACCUCUAAUCCAAUACACCUCUAAUCCAAUACAGCGAACCAAACGUGCUAGGUUUUUAUAUGAUCAUUGUAAAAGGUUAGGUAUUUAAUCGAAAAAGAAUUAUUUCUACAGUGAUUUUGGAAUUUGAAUUCCAAAUCAAUUAUGAGUUUUUUUUUUUCAAAUUAUUUCCUUAACUAAUUAGGUUAAGAUUGGUAUUCAUUGAAAGGUUUAAUAUCUAAAGUAGAAAGUUGGGAUGGGAUUGGAACUUCAAAUUAACUAGAUAUUCUUUUUAUUUAAAAAUAAUUUUAUAAAUUUGUCAAUCAGAAGGAUCCAGUUAUUUUUUGCUGGUUCAAUAUAAAUCCGGUUGAUUUUUAGGUUAGUUCCAAGUUUGUGUUAAUUGUGUUUCGUUAAUUUUAGGUUUUAUUGUAAGUUUGGAUUAUUUUGGGUUUGAUUUAUUUGGAUUUUAAGUUUGUUAUUGUUUUAAAUAAUUUUGAGCUUGAGUUAUCUCAAAUUUGAGUAGUUUCAAGUUUAGGUUAUAUUAUCUUUAAGUCGGCUUGGGUUCAAGUUUUUGAUUGUUUAUGGUAAAGUUGAGUUAAAUUGAAUUUGAGUUUAAUUUGAUCAUAAUAAGUUUUCGAGCUCAAGUCAAAGUGGAUAAAUUUAGACAAGGCCAAUUUUUUUUUCUUUUUAAAAUGACCUUUAUAAUGCCAAGCUAGUUUAUUUAAAAGGGUUAAUAUAUUGUGUUUUUUUAAUAAUUUGAUCAUAUCUGUUCUUUUUGACAUAAUACUUAAAAUUACCUAUAGCCUCUCCUUAACCAAUAAAUAGGAGGAUAAUGUGCUUUAGCGCACUCAAACCCAUAUCUUCUUGUAUUGACAACAAUACUCAUACUAAUUGAAUUAAGACUUAAUCGACAGAACUAAUAUUGUUAGUACAUAACAUUAACUUUUAUGAUCAAUUUAGUAUUUAAUUAUUUUUGUAGUACUUAACUUUGAAUUGGAGCCAAUGAAAUGGGACAUGUGACAGCUUGUUAAAUUAUUUAUUAAUUUAAGUAAAUGAACAUAUGUAACCAAGGGGCAUUUUCAUAUCAUAUAUGCAUGGCUAACUUUUUUAGAUAUAGACCAUAUCAUCAUGAAUUCACACAAACUCUUUCAAUUUUCAUUGUUUUGUGGAUCUCAUGGAAUUCUCAAAACCUUAAAAUCAAUUUUGAAUACCCUAACUUAUGAUUUCAUCAAGUUUAAAUUCAAAAUAAAAACAAUAAUAAUCCAUAUGAAUUCUUAGGUUUAAAUUCAAAAUAAAACACUAAUAAUCUAUAUGAAAAUGAAACGUAGAAUCAUUCCCGCUUCAGUCAAUCAAUAUCUAAUUCUUAAAAUCUUGAUUUAGCAUUUCAGUAUGAAGUUUUGCAUUAUGAAAAUUUUGACCAUUCAUACAGCACUUCGGUCUCACGAAAUAUUUGAAGUUUUGCAUCAAACAAAAUUCCAAACUACUCCACCGAAACAAAAAGGUUCAUCCAAAAAAUUUACCUGAUUUGUAUUGUCUAUGGUCUGGAGUCUCCAUUUUAAUUUUCGUUACAAGAGUUUUACUCUAUUUCCUGCUCACAAGAUUUUUUAAAUAAAAUAAAAAAAAUUACAUAAAAAUGACUAUCUAAUUACAUAUAAAAAAUAAACUAAUUAUAACCAUUUUAAUUUUAAGAACCAUAACUUUGAAAAUAAAUAUAUAAUAAACAAUUAUAUACAUAUUCAACAUUCAUAAGAUUUAGAAUGUCAUUUUCCAUCGAUUUAAUCAGUACACAAAAAGGAAAAUCAGUUCAUACUAUUAGACAAUCUUGGCUUGAAUGUUACUUCUUGGAAAAUCAUUUAGAAAAGUUGCUAGAGUUGGAAUAGUGAAAUUUUUAAAAAAAAAUUCUAAAGCGGAAUUUAGUUGUUAUAUCUAAAAAAAUAAAUCCGAUCAAAUAAGUACAUGUUCAGCAAAAUUUAAGAAAAAGUCUAAAUCACAAAAGGGCUCUAAGAAGGUGCCCAAACUUUCUAAUCAACCCAAACUAAAGUAUGAUGUCUUCGAGUUUCUAACUAAUUGAUCUUCUUCGUUGUUCUUGAAUUUAUAAUUGCUUAGAGAGUGUAAUCUAACUAAAAGAAAUGAACACAACACAAACACCAAGACUCCCCAAGAAGUGCCUUGCAAUAUAUCAUGAAUACUUGAAGUAGUCGAAAAUUACAAGUAGACCAUGACAAAAUUAAUUAUACUUUGGGCACAAAUCACUGUCAAAUUUAUCUGACAUCAACAUGUAAUACCCCGAAAAUUACUAUAGUAAAAAAGUAAGAUAAUAUCCUUGAUAUAGUAAAAUAAGGAAAUAAAGUGAUAGAAAGAGUAAUAUUGAGUUAUGUCAACAUUGGGAAGUAUAUUAUGACAUAUUAAUUCAAGAAAGGAUUAAAUUGUAAAAGUGAGAAAAGUUUUGUUGCCCAAGAGUAAAUACUCAAAUUUUGAGGGGUUAAAGUGUAAAUACGGAAAAAUUGAAGGACCAAUAGUAUAAAUAUUUUAAGGGUGGAAUAAUCUGGAAACUAAAGAAAAUGAAUGAAUUAGGACCAAAUUGAAAAUGUGAAUUAGGACCAAAUUAAGUGAUGACUCAAGGAUGGAAUUUCAAAAGAUUAUAAAGGGCAAAAUGGUCAAAUAGAGAGAGAGAAUUCUAGAAGGUAAUGGUGAUGUUUGUGAUAUUUUUAAUUAAUUAAUUAGAUAAAUAUUAUUUAAUUAAUAUUUUAUUAAGAUUUUUAGUAUUAUUUUAUUAUUAAAUGAUUAAUAUAAAAAAAUUAUCAUCUUUUCAUGCAACCAACGUUAGAAUAGAAGAGAAGAAAGAAAGUUUUGCUUUCUUUACAAUUUUCACCUAGAAAUCAAAAGAAUUUUCAUAGCUUCCAAAAGAGAAAAAUAAUAAGGAGACAAUGGGGAGCUAGAAUGUCAAGUUAGAUUCAAGAAAUAGAAGCUGGAGGAGAGAGAAAAUCAAGUUAAAGAUUGAAAUCAAUAGCACAAAGUAAGAACAUCAAGAUUUCAAUAUAUUUUUAAGUUUGUUAUUGUUGAAAAAAGCAUGGAAAUGAUGUUAUAGUAGAUUUUUCUUAAAUAAAUUCUUAUAUUCUUGAUAUAUUAGUAAAGGGAAAUAAGUGAAAAUGAUGGGAGAUAUUAUAGAGAAAGGGAAUUAGGGAGUUAUAAACUUAGUAAUCAACAUCUUGCACUAAAACAGUUUUGGACAGCAGCAGUAGGUUAACUUUGAAAAAUCACCAUAAAUUGUGGAAAUUUAAUUAGAGAAUGAAAAAAAAUAUGGAAUUAAAGCUUAUUAAGUCUAGUUUCUUAUAGAAGAAACGGUGUAAGUAAUGAAAUUUUAAAUCAUGAGAUAUAAUAAAUUUUGUGAGACAAGGUCAGAAUGAAUUCGGGUUCCCCUGUUCUGACUUUGGAAAAUCAUAAAAAAUUGAAUAAAAAUAAUUAUGAGUUAUAAUUUAUAUGCUUAGAAUCCUUAUUGAGUAUAUUUUCAAAGGAAACAAACGGAAAUAUCAUCUGAAUUUUUUACAAUGAGAUAAUUAAUUUUUAGUGAAAAUGGGUCAAAACUGUCAAACAGUGAAAUAGGGGAAAAUUUAAAGAAUAAACUGUACUUAUUGGCUAAACCAAAAAUUCUGAAAAUCUUAUGGUAAGAAUAUAUGUGAGUCUAGUUUCAUAUGAAUUUAGCGGAUCUUAAUUUGGAGUUCCGUAUCUCAAGAUAUAAAUAAUUUAGUGACUAUAACUCAAGUGGACAACUUUGAAUUAAUAUAUAAAUAAAUGGUGGAAUUAUAGAUAAUGUUACAUAUAAGCAUAUUAUACAUUAAGGAUGUGGAAUGGAGAGGAGGAUGAAAAUAAAUGAUUAUUCAACUAGCAUGAGUUCUCAUUAAAAAUGACCAAUUUGCAUGUUUUAGGGUCAAGGACUAAAUUGAAUAAAAGUAAUAUUUUAAGGGUAAAUUGGUAAAAAUGUCAAAAAGUGACCAAAUUGCAUGAAAUGAAUUGUUUUAUUAUUUAAAUUAAUAAAUUGAAUGAAAUAUUAAUUUAUAUCAAGAUUGGGUGGAAAUUCGAGGAAAAUAGAAAAUUACCAAAAUGUCCCUGAAUUUUGGUAUUUCUGCAAUUUAGCUUGGUAAGUUCGUGUAACUUGAAUUAUGUUCAUAGAUGAUUGAAAUAUAUAUAUUGGAUUGAGAAAUUGAUUUGAAUUGUGAACAUGAGAAAUUGUAAAUUGAAUGAAAUGGAAAUGAAGCUUUGAAUUACAUGAGUAAAUAUCGGGUCUCGUAGGCCCUAUUUGUUAUGAACAUAAUAUUUCGAGGAUAUAUUGUAAAGAAUUAUAAAAGCACGUUAAUAAUUUAAAAAUUUUAAUUCGUAUGCAAAUGUAUGUCUUCUAGUAAUGCCCCGUACCCUAUUCCGGCGUCGAAUACGGGUAAAGGUUGUUACAAUGUAACAUCGCCAGAUUCGGUCAUAACGUUUAGACCGGGUUUGAGGUGUUACACAACGUUUCCCUAAUGACCUACAGUAUGUGCUCUCUAACAUACUACUUGAACUCUUCAUCUGUCACAUCAUUUGUUAGCGACUCUUCGAUCAAUGUUUGCAGCUAGGUAUGGAUAAUUCUUGAUGAAAAUCGACAUUACCUUUUCUAGAUCAAUUUAAGACUGAUCGAUUAAAACAACCCAUUCAAUUGGGAGGCCAUGAUUAGGGCUAUGUCUUUCAACGUGUGGCUUCACUGCAGUGAAAGUGGAAGUUAAAGGUCUUUGAUCUCCACAUUUCCACCGUAUCUUCAAGGAACGAUAGCUGCAUGGGAAAGUGAGGUUUUUUUAGCUACCUUAAAAAGGCAACUACUAGCAGCUACACUUUUAGUUCAUGUUGAUUCUCAUUCCAUAUUGAAAAUUCACCAUUUCAUGGAAUUCAAAUAGUUUGUUCCUCAUGCUUAGAAAUGGUAGCAAGUCGGAUAUCUUCGUUUUUUGAAUUACCUACAUCCAAGUUCACAAAUCAACCUAAAAAUCUAAAUAUGCAAAUUUUCCUAGUAUCACUAUCUAAAUUCAGAUCUGAAUUAAAUAUUAUUAUUCGUCGAAUAUCCAUAUCUACAAAAAAAAAUCUUAAAUUAAUAUUUUUAAUCAUAUGUCAGAUACCUCAGUCCUCACAAAUUCAAAUCAACAAAAUAAUAUAAAAUCAAGCAAUAAUUUAAUUUUAAAUACAAUUUAUUUAUAAUUAAAAAUUAAUAAAUGUAAACUAACAAAAGUAGAUAAUUAACAAUCCAAACAAAUUAAACAUAAAAAUUUAAAAUAAUUUAAAUAUUCCUAACAACUUAAGUAAAAUAAUUCCAAACAAAUUAAAAGUUCCACAACAAUCUACAAAAAAUUUGAAUCUAACAUUUUCAAUCAUAGGUCGGGUAUCCGAAUUCGUGAAAAUCUGAAGUUGAAUUCGCGAGAUAACAUAAAAUCAAAGGAAAAAAAGUUAAUUUUAAAUAAAAUUUAUUCAUAACAAUAAAUAAAUGGAAAUUAAAAAAAGUAGUUAAAUAACAAUCCAAAUAUAUUAAAUUUAACAAUUCACAAUAAUUUAAAUAUACCUAAUAACUUAAACACAAUAAUUUCAAACAAAUUAAAAGUUCCAUAACAAUAUCAUAUAAUAAUUAAUUACUUAUCCCUAAUUAUAUGUUGCUAAUUGUAUAUAUUAUUUAGGGUUUAAGGUUAAGUAUAAUUAAUAUAAAACUCUAGAUUAUAAAAUCAUAAUUGUAUAUAGGGUUACAUAUUAUUAAUAAUCUACCUUAAUUAUAUAAUUCUAAUUGUACAUAUUAUAAUCUACCAUAAAAUUAGUUAUAGUUUUAGGGUUUAAGGUUAUGUAUAAUUAAUAUAAAAAUAUACAUCAUAAUCAUAAUUGUAUAUAGGGUUACAUAUCAUUAAUAAUCUACCUUAAUUAUAUAAUUCUAAUUGUAUAUAUUAUAAUCUACCAUAAAAUUAGUUAUAGGUUUAGGGUUUAAGGUAACGUAUAAUUAAUAUAAAAAUAUACAUCAUAAUCAUAAUUGUAUAUAGGGUUACAUAUCAUUAAUAAUCUACCUUAAUUAUAUAAUGAUAAUUGUAUAUAUAUUAUAAUCUAUUAUAAAAUUAAUUACAUGUUUAAGGUUUAGGUUCCAUAUCAUUAAUAAAAUAAUUCACAUUAUGAUAUCAUAGUUGUAAGUAGUUAAACAUGUAUGUAUAUACUACUUUUUAUAAUAUAAUAUGUACUCAAUAUAAUUAGGCGUAUUAUAAUAUUAUUUUAAUUUAAAAUAUUAAUUAAUUUAUUGGUUUUAAGUAAUUUAAUUAAUUAAGUUGAUCAAAUAAUAAAUGGGAUAAAUACAAAUUUAAAGAUUUCGAUGAUCCUAUCUCACUGUUUAAGAGACCUAUAUACAUAUUAUAGUAUAAUGUUAAAAGAAGUUACAUGAGAUUUAAGAGAGUAAGAUGUUAAAAGAAGAAAUAAUUUUCUGCUAAAAAAUUAUUAUAUUUAAUUUUUAAAAAAAUAAUUUUAUUAUGCUUUCUAUGUUAUUUAUUAAUUUAAUUUAUAAUCUAUGUUGAAGACAAAUGAUGGUUAAAACAUAACUUUAUAUGUAAGAGGCCUUGGAUUCAACCUUGUUCUAACCAGUAGAUUCGGAUUAAAUCCGCAAUUCGAAUUGUCAUCCCUAUUCAUGCUAGUAAAUAAAAUGAAAAAAAAAGAUCAAUAAUUUAUGUUGAACAAUGUUAAAAAAUUAUUGCUAAAAUUUAAUUUUAACAACUAAUAAGUACUAACUUUAAUAAUGAAUUAAAAAAUUUACUGUAAUAUGAUUAUCUUCCCUUUAUAGAGCCACAAUAGGGUUUAAAUAUCCAAAUUUAAGAUAUCAUAUGAGAAUUUAGGGAGGUUUUAGGCUUGGGAACUCAACAAUAAUGAGAGUAAGGUUUUAGGUGUGCGAGAGAAAUGAGAGUAAAGGUUUUCAAUGCCUUUAUUAAGAUAAGAUUAACCCCAAAUGGGACAAAGUUGAACUAAUGCAACCUUUGACACCCAUGAUCGUUGAAUUUCAUUAAAUGUAUUUAUCAGGAUUAGGCUUUUCAAAUGAUUAAAAAUUUAAUUAAAGAAGACCUUGACAACUAUUCUUGUAUUAAUUAGGGUUAAAAUCCCCAUCAAUCAAUUAAAUACGAAUACAUGGAUUUAAUUUAUAAAGAACUCAAGACUCGCAGGUGUCAAGGUCUUCUUGUAGUAAUUGGGAUUAAAAUCUCUAGGAGUCAAAAUUAAAUACAGAUACAUGGAUUUAUUUUACAACUCGACAUUAAUGGUUGUCGAGGUCUGACAUUAUGUACUAGAUUCACAUUUCCUAUACUUUUCAAGAGUCUUUGGCUGAAAACUUGGCAACAUAUACGAUAAGGGAACUCAACUCCCAUGGGUGUUGAGGUACCUUUAAAAAAAAAAAACCUAGUCAAGAGUAAGCUUCAUUAAUGACCCCCUAUUUCUAAUAAAUUCACAUAUAAGCCUACCAUUUUUUUUAUUUGGGUAAAAGAGACCUACAUACAUUUAUUCUCUACUAGGUUUUAAGAAAAUCACAUAAAACCGUUUAGAAUCUAUUUACUAAGUGAAUUUUUUUAAAAAAAAUAGCAAUAUCCUUUAUUAUUUAUCAUAUAUUGUUUAUUUUAUUUUCAUUUUUAAUUAAAAUAAUAAAAUUUUAAGAUAAAAGGUCUGAAAAGCCCUUAAAAUAAAAAUAAAUUCAAUUGAGCCAUUAGGGGAAAGUACACUCAACUGAGCCCUCGGUGACAAAAAAAUCAUUUAGGCCUAUCCAUUAAUGAAAACUAUUAUUGACUAGUUUAACUAUUAAUGGACGUUGACGUGAUUGAUGGAAGCAACGAAAAGCUAACAUGUGACAUGCUAUCAAUAUACAUCACACAUAUUGUUGAUAUAAAAUACAAAAGGGGAGGAGGAUAAGAAGAAGGUCAAGGUGGUGCAAUAGAGUCCAGUUCACUUGUAAAGGUUGAGAGUCGAAACAAGGACAAGAUGACUAACUAAUUAAGAAGGAAAAUGCUUAGAGUAACUCUAAUCUGCUAAAAAAUUAAUCCUCAUUCAUAAUUUUCUAGAGUAUUUAUAGGAAAGGUCCCUUUGUCUACUGUCAUGAUAUGGUUAGAUAAACAUUCAACCUUGUUAAAUGCAAAAUGGAUAAUCACAAGCAUGUAUCAUGGAAUCCUAUCAAUAUGAGGUAGUUAAGCCUAAAUAGUCUCCUCGUUGUCUUGGGAGUGUGUUUACAUUAGGAUAACAUUCUCUUUUAAGACCGAGUGAUAGGUCUCGCUUGAAGUGGGUUGAGUGUUCGUGCUUAAAAAGUCAAUGCAGAGACAAUGAUGCCUUUUUGGCUUACCAUGUGUUUUCUUGUUGGAGGGAUAUAACAAUAUCCCCCAGUCGAGCGAGAGAUCAUAAAGUGUUUUUCAUAGACAUCAAUAAAGAAUGAGUGUUUUCAUGAGAGGUCAUAAAAUAUGGUUAAUUAAGGUCUGGGGGCUAAAUUGUAAAAGUUUAAUCGCUGUAGAUUUUUAAUUAAGAAAAGGCUUGGGGACUUAAAUAGCAAUUAUCCAAAUGACUAAAAUGGUUAAUAGACCUAUUUUAAAUGGAUGAUAGUGGGAUGUGAUUUUAAAUGUCAUUAUAUUAAGAUAAUGAAGGAUUAAUGCUUAAUUAAUCAAGAUUAGGUAAACUAAUUAAGUUUCAUUAUAAUUAAUCUAAGUAUAUAUAUAUGAAAUAUUAGUGGAAAAAGAUGAUAAACAUCAUAUUCUUCAACCUUUCAUGUCAUCCUCCAUUAAAGAAAAUCUUUAAAACCUAGUUUGAGCGUUUGACCAUUUAAUUCAAGUAAGUUCCUAGCCAUUUUUCUUUGAUUUUUAUAAACUUUUUUUUUAUCAUGGUAACUUGAUUAAGAUAACCCAUGUAUCAAAUUUUUCAAUUGGUGAGAUUUUGAUAAGUUGACAUUGUUGAGAAUAGGAUGAAGGUGUGAAAUUGAUAGAAAUUAAGCCUAGAUUAUAAAAAUGACUAAAUUGUAAAACUUAACAAGCUUGAUUGUAAGCUUUGUUAUAUUAGGGACCAAGAAUAAAAUUCAAAAAUUUUGGUAAGAAUAGAAAGUAUAAGGUCCUAAAAGAGUAAUAGUGAAAUUGAAUUUUAAUCCAAAACUUUAGAUUGAAAGCUAUGGUUGUCCUGGGUUUAGGGACUAGAUUGAAUAAAUUGCAAAAUAUACUUGAUCUUGCAUAUGAUUGUGAAUUGUAUGAAAUUUAUAGUAUUAUAUGUUUUGUGGCUAUACGUAGCUAACGUCGAUGCUGAGCCUUCGAGAGGGAAAGAAAAAGAGAGAGUUAUUGACAAGUGAAUCGAUACCAUAAUUUGUACUUUUAUAAUUUGGGAUAGAUUAAUUGCUUGCCUAUAUGUGUUAAUUAGAUGAUUGGAUGUCAAGGUGAGUACAUGGUGAUAUUGUGAAUGGUUUUGAUUUGGUUUGAUAUAGAAUAUCGAUAUAGGGGACUAAAAUGAAUAAGAUAGGAAAUGUCAUGAAUUAAGUAGAACAUGAUAUAUAAUAUGGAAAUUGGAUUGAAAUUUGUCAUUACUAUGAAAUAUAUGUGUUUGAUGAUGAAAUGAGAAUUGCGAUUAUGAAAAUGACAUGAGAUAUAAUAUGUAUUGAUAAUGAUAUAUAUUGAAUUAUAAAAUGAAAUUGAAUAUUGGUACCCUAUUAGUUGUUCAGGUUGUGUCGGGUAUAGUUGGCAUGCCAUAGGAUCGGUUUGUGUAUAGGUUAUACGUUUAUGCGCGAAGAUACACUUCGUGUGCCAAGAUACACUUCGUACGACAGGAUGCACUUCGUGCGCCAGGAUGCACCUCGUGUGCCUGUAUGUGCUUUAUGCACCAAGAUGCGCUUCAUGUGCCAAUAUGCACUUAUGUACCAGUUUCCCUACUAAGAUUUAUCUAAUGAUGCACUUCGAUGCUAGUUUGGUGUGUUGGUUGGACGAUCCAUGUAUCUAUCCAAGUCCAAGUCAUGUUAAUAGGGGUUAUAAAUGGUAAUCGUGGUAAAUAGUAUUGGAAUGAAAUGGUAUGAUGGUAUGUGACUAAAUAUGUGCAUAUAUGAGCUUGAUAAAUAAAUUUUAUAUCUUAUUGUGCAAAUCAAUUGAAAAUGAGCCCUGGGGACCAAAACGAAUGUGGAUGAGUCGAUAGACUUCAAAAUUGAGUUUGAAUGGUGAGACAACAAGGUAAAUGAUAUGAGCAUAAUGGAACACAAGUGGCAUAAUGUUAAUGGCAUAUAAAGAUAUGUGAUUAUAUGAUUGAUAAUGAUAACUAAUAAGGUAUGAGAAAUGGUAAUUGUCAAAUGGUAUGCAUAGAUAACUUGUUUUGUAUAUAUUGAUGAAUGAAUUGGUUAUUUGCCUCAUUAAUGUACUCACUUGCAUCUAAGAUGUGAAAUUGUUUUGUUAGAUAUAAUAUAACUUGAUUAGUUAUGUAAUUUUGUUAUAAAUUACCAUUUGUAAAUGUUUGUGUUAUCUUGAAUCAUGAAAGUACCACUGAGCCCUAUCCCUCAACAUACGGUUUGUUUAUUCUGUGAGCAGGUACAAGUAUAGCUCCUUUUUAGUUUGUCAAUGACAUGUACCUAAGAAUAGUUGGUCUCAAAGUCUAAAUGGUUAACAUGGUUGUAUAAAAGUUUUCAUUUAUAUGAAACUGGUUUUAGUCAUGUAUAUAAAUGUUGUUAAUGUUGGAUCCGAAAUCCUAAGUGUAGUAUAUUCGUUUGUAAAUUUUUAAUUUUUCGAACAAAUUAGUUAAUUAAAUAAUUCAUGGAUUACAUUAUUAUUCUUUGUAUAAUGUCCUCAUGUGAUUUUUGCAUGUAAAGCAAAAUAGAAGCAAAUGCUAACUCAUCGAUUGUUUAAUGUUUAACUAAUAUUAAGCGGUAUUACGUGGUUGGAUCAUAAUAUAGAAAGACAAUUUAUAUUAGUAGAUGAACCUAAACAUGUCCUUAGUCUAAUCAGAAAUGAGAAAAUUGAUUGAAAGAAUAAUAUUCCAUCUAUCUAAUCCAAUUGGGGGAUGUCUUGUCUUAGGCAUCAGAGCGGAUGAAUCCCAAAAGAUAGAGACAUAAAUGUGGCUGACUAGACUGACAAUACAUCAGACUGGACCUAAAAAGAAUAGAUUUUGAAUCUGUUUAUGGAUUUAUUCACUUGUGAUGUUCAAAGUGUGGCAUACUUUAAUCCUGAGUGGAUAAUGAUCUAUGUAUGUGUGACUCGUAUACUUUGAUGUAAGUAAAAGCCUGAGUUCAAAUAAAUAAGGAACUGAAAGCUAGCGUGUUAGGUAUAUAGCUUCUACAUUAUGUAGCAUCAUUCUCAAUAGUGGAAUUCAUAGCCCAAAACAUUGGUUAAUGAUAUCCUAUAAUUGGAAUUACAUGAUAGAUGAAAAGUAAACAUUGGUUGUUCGUAUUUGUGAUAAAUGACUUAAUUACUAUUUGAUAGUAAUUGACUUUUCAUAAGGGAAAGAUGUAAUGGUUUCCAUAAGAUAAAAUAGGAUCGUAUGGCCAAAAACACUUGGAUUGCUAGAGCAUCAGAAACACCCUUGGUUAUCAUAGUUGCAGCAUUAAACCUUUUCAUGAAAUCACGAAAGGGUUCAUUCUCUUUUUAUCAGAACAUGAGGUAUGUCGAGGAUUGUUGUGGUGUUUUGUUGGCCAAAAAUCUACUCAUGAAUAACUUAGCCAACUAGUUGAAAUUACUUAUAGACUUUCAAAAAAGUAAGAGGUACCACUAUCAGGCGAUGCUAGAAAGGUUCAUAGAGAAAGCCUUGCAUUUCACAACGUCUGAAGCUCCAAGAAUGUCCAUAUGUUUGUUGUAGUGUGAUAGGUGAACUUUCGGGUCUCCAGUACCAGUGUAAGCCAACUUAAGAAACUUAAAAGAGGCAUACAAGUUAUACGUCAAGGCAAAAGGGGCUAAGGGCUUAUUAUUGUAGCUCUAAGAGACUUCAUCGGGCUUACAACCUUUAACCUCCUAUAAAAAUUCAAAUCUAAGUGCUACAAUUGUCUCCUCAAUAGGAAUAGCCUUAUUUCAGAGCUCCCACUUCGCAUAAAGGUCUUGCAACACCUUAUUAUCAUUUUGAUUCUUCUUUUCUAUACGAACGAUGGAUUAUGCAGUACAUUUUGACUCUAGCGGGAUAGGUAAAUUUCCACCUUUUAUUGCGUCCUUGGUUGCCCAUAGCUCUACAAUCAUCUAUUUAUUAAGAGCAUUUUGUUGAUAAGUGUUGACGUUCUUGUUCUUCUUGGAAUUAGCAUUGUUAAGCCAAGAUUUGUUCUUCCAUGUGAUGCAUUUUUCGUGGAUCUCAAGAACAUGAUGUUAAGGAUCUGAGAUUUGUUACUAUUAGGAAACUUUGUUUAGGGAAUAACUGUGGUAGUGGGUUGAGUUUGUAGGGUUAAGCAAGAGAGGAUUUGUUUUAAGUGAUUAUUUUUGGGGCCUUGUGAUAUGGCAAAGAAAUAUGGUGUGUUAGGAAUUUAAGGUAAGGCCAUAGUGGCAGGGUUAACCGAAGGAGUGUUAAAGGCUUUCAAGAGUUGGGAAAGGGUUUCCAUGGUGGUCAUUGCUGAACGAGAUGACAUUUUGGUUUGAUUUGGGGGAAGUUUAGUAUUGACAACGUCAUUCUCAUUUAUUGGAGUGGAGGAAUUAGCAGGGUUGGCGUUGUUGUUUUUGUUAUUAGGCUAUUCCAACUCUCCCCCUUAAAGAAUUUUCGUCCUCGAAAAUCUUACCAGUAAAGAGGUUCGGAUAUUGCUUUCUCAUUGUUUCCUUCGGUUUCCAGGUAGCUUCUUCUAUCAUUGUCAUUGCCAAAUAACUUUUACAAAAGCUACCCUUUUACUUUUUAACUCUUUUGUUUCAUGUGCCAGAAUUUUAAUAGGUUCCUCACUGUAAGUCAUGUCAGAGUGAAUCUCAACUUCUGUCAAAGAAAUGACAUGUGAAGGAUCUGACUGAUACCGUCGCAACAUAGACACGUGGAAAAUAUUAUGAAUUUUGUCAAGUUCUGGUGGUAAUGCUAAUCAAUAUGCAACAAGUCUAAUUCUUUUAAUGAUCUCAUAUGGUCCGAUGAAUAAUGGACCUAGUUUUCCUUUACGGCCAAAUAAAAGAACUUUUUUUCCAAGGUGAUGCUUUCAAGAAUACCGUGUCACCAACUUGGAAUUCUAUCUCUUUCUAUUUAAGGCCAGCAUAAGAUUUUUGACAAUCAGAGGCUGCCUUCAAACUAUCACGAACCACUUUCACCUUUUCUUCAGUCUCACGGAUUAUACCUUCAAAUUCUAUCACGCAAUAUCGAAACAUAUCUUCUAGAAUCUGUAUCACACGUUCAGGUUGACCAUCAGUCUGAGGAUGAAAUGCGGUACUGAAAUGUAAUUGUGUACCCAGAGCUUCUUGUAAUUUGUUCCAGAAUCGGGAUGUAAAUCGAGGAUCCUUGUCUGAAAUAAUGGAGAUCGGCACUCCAUGUAGCCUGACAAUCUCAGAAACUUAUACCUCUGCUAAUUUGUCUAGGGAAAGAAUCCAUAUGUACUGAAAUAAAGUGUGCAGACUUCGUUAAACGGUCAACUAUUACCCAGAUGGCAUCAUUUUUUCUCGGAGAUAGGGGUAACCCUGACACAAAGUUCAUAGUAACUCUUUCCCAUUUCCAUUUCGGUAUCGUUAGUGGCUGUAAUAAUCCCAAAAGUACCUGAUGUUCAGCUUUAACUUGCUGACAUAUCAAACAUCUAGAUACAAAUUCAAAAAUAUCCCGUUUCAUUUCUAGCCACUAGUACAUCUUUUUCAAAUCAUGGUACAUUUUGUUACUCCCCGGAUGAAUAGAAAUAAUACCAUUAUGAGCUUCGUUUAAUAUCUUCUGUACAAGUUCUAAAUUCUUCGGUACACAAAUUUUGCCUCUGUAUAACAGACAAUCAUCAGACCCAAUCUAAAAUUCUGAAUUAGAGUUUGACUCACAUUGUACCCUUUUAGCUUGUAAUAUAUCAUCAUUUUUCUGAGCUUCACAAAUCUACUGUAGAAAUGUCGGUUUAGCUUUUAACUCAGCUAUGAUUGAACCAUCAUCUGACAAUGACAAUUGGGUAUUCAAUGCUCGCAAGGCAAACAAAGAUUUUCUACUCAGAGCAUCUGCAACCACAUUGGCUUUUCCCAGAUGAUAAUUGAUAACCAGAUCAUAAUCUUUCAAUAAUUCAAGCCAUCUGCGCUGUCUCAAAUUUAAAUCCUUUUGCGACAUCAAAUACUUUAAACUUUUGUGAUCAGUGAAUAUAUGAUAUUUUUCACCAAGCAGAUAAUGUCGUCAAAUUUCAAUGCAAACACAAUGGCUGCCAAUUCUAGAUCAUGUACCAGGUAGUUCUUUUCAUGUGGUUUUAGUUGUCUAGAAGCAUGGGCUAUUACUUUAUCUUCUUGCACCAAGACACAGUCUAAACCAUUCAAUGAUGCAUCAUUGUAAAUUACAAAUUCUUUACCCGAUUCAGGCUGAACUAGUACGGGUGGUUCAGUCAACAAGGCUUUCAAUUUGUCAAAACUUUGCUAGCAUUUAUCAGAUCACUCAAAUUUCACAUCUUUCUAUAACAAAAGUGUCAUCGGAGAGGCUAUUAUCAAAAACCCUUUUACAAACCUCCGAUAAUAUCUAGCUAAUCCUAGAAAACAUCUUACUUCAGACACAUUUUUAGGUGGUUUCCAAUUAACAAUUGUUGAAAUUUUACUCGGGUCAACUCUAAUACACUUAGCAAAUACUAUAUGUCCAAGAAAACCAACUUCCUGAAGCCAAAAUUCACAUUUACUAAAUUUGGCAUACAAUUGUUUCUCAUGCAAAGUUUGCAGAACAAUUCUCAAAUGAUCAGUAUGUUCAUUUUCAUCUCGGGAAUAUACAAGAAUAUCAUCAAUAAAUACCACCACAAAUCUAUCCAAAUAUGGUCUGAAAAUUCUUUUCAUUAAAUCCACAAAUACCGCAGGUGAAUUCGUCAAACCAAACGGCAUUACAAGAAACUCAUAGUGUUGGUUCUGAAGGCUAUCUUUGGCACAUCUGACUCUUUCACCCGUAGCUGAUAGUAACCGGAGUGAAGAUCAAUUUUUGAAAAUACAGUGGCACCUUUUAGCUAAUCAAAAAAAUCAUCAAUACGAGGAAAUAGAUACUUGUUCUUUAUUGUGACUUUGUUGAGUUUCUGAUAAUCAAUGCAUAGUCUCAAAGAUCCAUCUUUCUUCUUAACAAAUAAAACCGAUGCACCCCACAGUGAAAAACUAGGUCGAGCAAAACCUCUGUCAGUCAAUUAUUGCAAUUGUGCUUUCAACUCCUUUAAUUCAAUAGGAGUCAUUCUGUAAGGUGCUAUAGAUAUUGGUGUUGUCCCCGGUAUAAGAUUUAUAGAAAAUUCCACUUCUCUGGCCGGCGGUAAUCCGGGUAAUUCCUUCAAAAACACGUCAAGAAAUUCAUAAACAACCAGCACUAACUUAAUCUUCGAUUCAAAUACUUUAGUGUCCAACAUAUAUGAAAGAUAUGCAUUAUACCCUUGUCUGAUAUAUUUUUGUGCUGAUAUAGCUGAAAUCACAUUAGACAGCCCAUCCAAUUUAUCAGAUUCGACACAGAGCAAUUUACCAUUCUGACAUUUUAACACAAUAGACUUCUAUUUACAAUUUACCACUGCAUCAUGUUGAGUUAACUAGUCCAUACCUAGAAUUACAUCAAAUUCAUCAAAUGGCAACAACAUCAAAUUAGCCGAGAAACAACAACCCCGUACCAUUAACGGAUAAUUUUUCUAAACUUUAUCCACCACCACAUACUGGUCCAGAGGGUUUGAAACUUUAAUCACAAAUUCAGUGGAUUCAACAGAUAAAUUUUUAAUAAAUGCUAAAUUCGUGCAAAUGUAUGAAUGUGUUGAACCAGGAUCAAUCAAAGUAGUAAUAUUAGUAUCAAGAAGAGAAAAAGUACCAGUAAUGACAUCGGGUGCAGAGGCAUCCUCUCUUGCACGAAUAAUAUAUGUUCUUGCUGGUGCUCGUACUUCAGAUUUAGCAGUUGAAUCUUUUCUUGUACCUCGGUUAUCAUUCCUAUUAUCGGGGUUACGAGGUGGUCUACCUCUCAAGGCAGGGUCGCCCUUGAAGUCUGAACAGUAUCUUUUUCAAUUCUUUUCGGGCGAUCUUUGAGAUAGUGGUCAAGAGAACCACAUCUAAAACAGGCUCCGCUUCUCAUACGGCACUCACUGAAAUGCCAUUUAUUACAAUUUUUACAUCUGGGUUUGGGAUUUCCAACACUUCCAGCACUUGCCACUGACGAGACAGGAGAUCUCGGAUUAGAGCAUUGAGUACCUCGGUCUUUUCCAGAAUACCCCACAAAUGUGACUAAACGAUCAUUAUAUUUCUUUGAUUUAUUUGAGGCCGACGGUUGUGACUUUCCCAUAAAUAUUUUACUCAAGGUUCAAGCUUCCAUCUCUGUCUGUCUAUUUUCUUUACUUAAUUCUUCAACUUUAUGUGCUCGACCAACCAGUACCACAAAUUAUUUUAGUUUUAGAUUCCCAACUAAUAGCUUAAUAUCUUCAUUUAAUCCCUCUUCAAACCGUUUGCACAUAGCAACUUCAGUCGGGAUACAUUCUCUAGCAUAUUUGCUUAAUCUGACAAAUUCUUGCUUGUAUUCAAAUACAGUCAUAUUCCCCUGUUUGAGCUCUAAAAAUUCUUUCCUUUUCUGAUUAAGGAAUCUCUUGCUAAUAUACUUCUUUUUAAAUUUAUUUUGGAAAAAUUCCCAUGUGAUGCUCUCCCUCGGUAUAACAGAAAUCAGAGUAUUCCACCACUGAUAAGCCGAAUCUUUUAACAAAGAUACAACACAUUUCAAACAUUCAUCAGGUGUGCAAGACAAUUCAUCCAAAACCCUGACGGUAUUUUCUAACCAGAAUUCAGCUCUUUCUGGAUCAUCUUUAGUAGUAGCCUUAAAUUCUUCUGCCCCAUAUUUACGAAUUUUAUCUACCAGGGGCUUACCAGUUCUAACAGAUUCAACACCUUGUGGCAUAUCAAAAACCAGUUGAGGAGCAGGAUGGGGAGGUUGUUGUACAGCAGGAUUUGUUCUCAAAUAUUCAGUGAAUCAUUCAUUCAUCAUUUGAAAGAAGGAUUCUUUAACCUCCUCACCUCAGCCCUCACAUACGGGCCUUCUACUACUUGAAACAGCUCUUUGAACUGAACCUUGAGCAUUGCUGUCAGCUUUCUUGGAUUCACCUCGGUUGGACGACAUUACUAUAUAAAAAACAUGUUUAAAAUGGUCAGGAGAUAUCACAUUAUCACAUAUUUUAUAAUGACAUGUGUAGCUAAACUCGUACUUGCUACGUUAGUCCGAGAAUCGGGUAAAUCGUAGCUCUGAUAUCAAUUAAUGUGACACCCCUAAGCCAUAUCUGUCGCUGGAACAGGGUUGCGGAGAAUUACUGGAGUUUAGAGAAUAAAUACAAUUAAUUCAUGUUAUUUACUAUUCAUAUCCAAAAUCAAUCAUAUUCAAUCAUACUGUCCCUUAAAUGAACCCUCGAGGUCCAAUUUAUGCAUUUGAAACAAGUCGGGACUAAAUCGGGAACUCAGAGAAUUUUUUACAAAAUUUCAAAAUUUUUGUCUAGGUACAGGGGACACACGCCCGUGUGGCCAGGAAAUGACAUGCCCAUGUCCCAGGCCAUGUGGGCAUUUGAUGUGAGGCACACGGCUGUGUCCUAGCCCAUGUUCAUACCCGUGUACUCUCUGACUUGGGUCACACGGCCAGCCACAAGCCCGUGUGCUAGGCCGUGUGGACAAUUUAAUUUUCAAAAAUUAUGUGCAGGAGUCACACGGCCAAGUCACACGCCCGUGUGCUAGGCCAUGUGACACACACGACUGAGACACAUGCCCGUUUCUCUGCUUGUGUGAGCAAUUCAAAAUAUUUUAUUUCUCAAAUUUAAAGAUGCAGGGGACACAUGGCCAAACCACACGCCCGUGUGCAUGGUUGUAUGUCAUACACGGUUGAGACACACACCCGUGUCUCUGACCGUGUGGAAAAAAUAAGUCUAUUUCAAGCCUUAUUGCUCCACCAACCUGGCAUCAAUCUAUCCAACCAAUUUUUGUACCAUUACAAGUCACAAUAAGACCUUCAAUUCAAACAAGUUUCAAGUUCAUUACAUGUCAUAACAUCUAAUUUAUCCAAAUAUUUAAUCUUACCUAAUUGGCCACAUAAACAUAUAAGUAUAUUUUACCCAUUCAUGCAACCAUUAAUAUAUUCAUGUAACUCCCAUCAUUCAACCAUUUCAAUAAACACAUCAAGCAUGAUAAGGCCUUAUAUAACUACAUCAAAAUAUGCUUAACACUAGCCAUUCCAUUGGAUAGUUACAACCAUAAUAUUCCAUCAUUAUGCCAAACGUAGCUUAUACCAAGAGUUAGCUUGCUUUAUAUACUGAGAAAUCCGAGGGAUAGUGUGAUGUGUCUCCGACUAAGUUCCAACCUUCACGAGCUUCUGAGUACUAUAAAACAGAGGAAAGAAAAACCAAGUAAGCAUUCAAUGCUUAGUAAGUUCAUAUAACUGGAAAUUUAACUUACCAUUUAUUUUCAUUAAAAUAAUCAUAUAAAUGACAUCCAAACAAUUUGGAUAAAAACCUAAAACACAACUUCACUGAUCAUGUUAGUCAAGUAAUUCACAUAAAUACCAAGAACAUGAAUAAGCUCGUCAUGUAAUAACUUUCAUAUAAAUAUGCUUUUCAUAUCAUAUUCUCAUAUAACAUUUACAUUUCCAUGACAAAUCAUUUCAAAUGUCAGAACUUUUCCCAUGGAAUUUAUUUGAAAUAACGAUAGAUACACAUGUAGUACACUCGAAGUGUACAAAACUGUAAUUCGUCAAUUCAUAUUCAGGGGCACUCAUUAGAGCACAUAAUCAGGAAACACUCUCUCUUGAGCCAUAUAUCAGGAAACUCGUGUGAGCCAUAUAACAGGAAUAUUAUCUGGGCUUAAUAACAUGAAACUCAUAAGAGUUUAAAAUAGAAAGCUUAUGUGAGCUUAACAAGUAACUCUGAAGAGCUAUUAUCAGGAAGCUCUAAAUAGCCAUAUAUCAGGAAGUUCAAGCGAGCCAUAUCAGGAAGCUCAUAAAGAGCUUAUAUCGGGAUGCUCAUAAAGAGCUGCGAUAUGUCCGCAAUACAUACAAGAUCAAUAUCGGUCAUAUAGUAGGACGCUCACAAAGAGCUGCGGUAUAUCCGCAACACAUGCAGGAUCAAUACCGAUCAGGAUGCUCGCAAGAACCAUGUAAUAGGAAGCUCGAGAGGGCUUAUAACAGGAUGCUCAUAAAAGCUAUGGUGUGUUCGCAGCAUAUGCAAGACCACAACCAAUACGGGAAAUCCUUUAUCGAGUUUCAUUUAUUCAAACGAGACUUAUUACUUAUCGGGCAUUAUCUAACAUGUGAUCAAUUUCAUACAUAAGACAUUUAUACAAUUCACUUACAACAUUCAAUUCAAACAUAUUAAUAUACAUAAUUUAGUUACACGAACUUACCUCGUCACUUGCUCGUAUACGGAAAUCUACUAAUCCGAUACUUUUUCUUUUCCUCGAUCUAACUCCUUAUUUGAUCUUUUCAGAUUUAUAUAAAUGAAUUUAACAUCAAUUUAACACAUUUCAUAUUCAAUUCAAUCCAACUUACAUCUUAGGUAUAAGUACCAUUUUUCUCUUAUACUUUUAAUUAAUUCCAAUUUCGUCCCUAGGCUCGGAAAAUGAAAUUCAUGCAAUUUAAUCCUUAUUCCAAGCCUAGCCUAAUUUUUCAUAUAACAAUAUAAAUCCAUGUAUUUCACAAAAAGAAAAAGAAAUUUUCCAUGAAUUUUACAUCUUUUUAACUUAGUCCCUCAAUCAUAAUUUCAUGAAAAUUUCAUUUACAAAAGUUGUUUAUCUAUCAACAACCUUUCAUUUUCUACCAUAAAUUUCAAAAUUUCAGCAUACUCAUCCAUGGAAAAAUUUUAAUACUUUAAUAACUUUCAAAUUGAUCCCUAAAAUAGAUAGAUUCUCUAAAAUAUAAAAAUUACUAAAAACGGGACAAUAAUUCAUACCUAAUUGAACCAAAACAACUUCAUUGAGCUCACUUUCUCUUAGCUAAGGUUUCCAUGUAUUUUAGUUUGGGAAAGAUGAUGGAAUAAGAUGAUAUUAGUUUAUUAUCAUCUUUAAUUAUUUCAAUUUCCAAUUUAGUCCUUUUAUUUUUCUAAUUUCCAUGGAUGAAUCUUCAUAAAUAUCUGUUAACUUCUCUUAAUGGUUUACUUGCCAUAUAAGGACCUCAAAUUUUGAAUUCCAUAGCUAUUUGAUCCUUUUAGCUACUAGAACUCAACUUUUUCGUUUUAUACAAUUUGGUCCUUUCUAUUGAAUUAAACAUAUAAUCGGUAAAUUUUCAUAACAAAAUUUUCAUAUGUAUUUCCUAUCAUAAUGCAGACCAUGCAAUAAUAUUAAAAUAAUUUUUCUUUCUAACUUGGAUUUGUGGUCCCAAAACCACUGUUCUGAUUUCACUGAAAACGGGUUGUUACAUUCUUCCACCUUGGAAUAACAUCAUUCAAUUGUUCAUAGAGGCCUCGAUUCAAUAGAACGAGCUGAGAAGAAGAGGAGCGCACUAGUCUAGCUUCAGAGAAAUUUUGGAUUUGCUUGCUAGUUCCCUUCUCUUUAAUUAUCUUAUUUAUGUUGUGAUAAUGAAUAUGAAUAAUUUUUUUGUUGUUUUUGUUGUUGUUCUAAUUAAAAUGGCUUAAAUUAAUUCGUGUUAGAUUGGUUGCAUUCUGUCCACUUGAAUUAUUAAAAUCAUAUUUGUGUUAUUACAGGCCUUGGUGACUUGUUCAAUUAAAAAAAAUCAUGUUUAUGUUGUACUUGCAUUAUAAAAUGUAAGGUAACGAAUGAAUUAAUUAGUAAACAUAUUUAAAUUAUAAUUCAUUGACACAGUAUUUAAUUGGUGCAUGUUUAAUCUUCUAAGGCAGCUGAAGGUUAAAUUAGCGACGGUAUUAAACGAUACAUUAGCCUUGCAUAACUUGCAAGAUUAUUGUGAUUAAACUAUUUCAAUAUAGAAACAUAUUGUUACCUCACUUAAUCUUCUAUGUUCUUAUGAAGAUUUAUUAACUGUUUGAAUUGGAAUUGAAAAAUGUUCAAGAAAUUAGUUAAUUUAGUAAGUACGUAUGAGCAGUAGUUAGCAAAUUACCAAGUUGCCGUGAAAAUAUUUGUAACAAUAUGAACAUGGGUUUAGUAAUUCUAAGUUGAGGAAUGUAAUUGAUCUAACACAAUUAUGUCAUCUUGAUUAAAACCAUCUUUUGAAAUCAUGCAUUGAAAUUUUUAUUUUAUUUUAUUUUACUUAAUUAAAUUAUAGUUUUUAAUCACUUCCUCAAAACCAAAAUAUUUUUAAUCACCAAAGUGUUUGAUUUACAUUUCAUAAAUAUUUUUCUUUCACAAUCCUUGUGGGUAUGAUAACUCGACAUUUACUUGUCACUUUAUUACUUGUUGCGAUUGUGAACACUUGCACAUUUUUGUCGUUCCAAAGGGUCAAGGAGGAUUUAGUGGGAAGAUUACAGGCCCACUCAGUUUCCAACACGUCCAUGACCUUGGGCAUUAUCUUUCUAGUUGGGAGGCUAAUAAACUCUCUUUCACCGAAGGGUCACAAUCGGCCCUUCUAUCCGUUCCUAGCUACCUCAUGCAGUCUUUAAUAGUCCGAAAAGGUGUUUGUGAUGAAAUUGAAGGCUUGAUGAGGCAUUUUAUUUGGGGUUCUUUUGGUGGUAGUAAGAAAAUGACUUUAGUGAGUUAGGAUGCUAUUUGUCAACCUAAAUCGUGUGGGGGUUUGGGUUACGACAUCUUAGUGACCAGAAUUCAACAUUCAUGAUGAAACUUACUUUUCAUCUCGUCACUAAAACUGAUGCCUUGUAGGUUCAAGUUCUUAGAGGAAAGCAUGGGGUAAAUGACAGAGUACCGGAAUGUAUCUCGUGGAGUAGAAGCUCUUUUUUGUGGAAAUCUAUCUCUAAGGUAUGUCCCCUACUACAUGAUAAUUUGAUAUUGUCUGUUGGAAAUAGAAACAAUGUACGUUGUUGGGUGGAUGCAUGGGUUCCUAAUGUGGGACCUUUAUCCAAACUUCUGCACAUGUGAACGUCAACCUGGAAUGCAAAUUGAGUGAAAUGGUUACGGAGAAUGAUGCUUGAAACCUUGAACGUUUUCGUGUUUUUCUAUCAGAGGAUGUUAUUCAACACAUCAUUAGCAUCCCACCACCUUUAGUCUCUGCAGGCCCAGAUUCAAUCUCUUGGUCUCGCUCUACAGCUGGUUGUUUCUCUGUCCAAAGUGCUUAUUGGAUGAUGAAUGAAGCAUCAUGGAACCCUAAAGAUAUAGUUUGGAAUAUUGUAUGGAAAUUUCCACGUCCUCAGAGAGUAAGGCACUUCUUUUUCAUUGUCCUCAAACAAUGACUCCAUACUAACAUUGAGAGAGUCCAAAGGAAAAUUAGCUAGGAUUAAUUAUUGUAACACCUCAUACUCGGCCUAGACUUUAAGACCAAGUUUGGAGAGCUACAUCAAAUACUUUCAGAAAAAUCAAACCUUUAACCAUUCAAAGUUCAACAGUCGAAAAUCAUUUAAAUAGUUAAACCAAACCUGAAAAUCCAAACUUAUAACCAAUCAUUCGAAAUAAAACAGGCGAUAAUAGACUAAAUGAUCGAGCUCUUAUCAUACCGACUCGCCUAAGCCUAUGGGUUAUCUGUAAUCCAAAAAAUAGACUAAAUGAGUCUACAACUCAGUGUGUAACUUACACUUAUUAUUAAUCAGUAACAUAAAAGAUGUGAUUUCAGUUUUCAUUAACUAGUCAACUCUUGUAUUCAGAUACAGAAACAGAAAUAGAAUACAUCAGAUAUAGUUGUAGAACAUUUCAUAUUUAGAUACAGAUUAUUAACCCCAACUGUUACACACCAUCUUCGUCCAUCCCUAUACACCAUAUAGUGACUGUGUGUCAUGAUUCAAAAUAAUUGCACUAUAGCUGCUAGAUCAUAACACAAUAAAUCGCCAAAUUCAGAUAUAUGUUUAUUGCUUAGCCACAAAAUUCGGUAGAUUAUUAAACUGCCCACACUUCCUCCUUUUCACAAUCCCAACCCAAUGCAGAUGUAGAUUUAACAGAUAUCAAAUAUGCCUAUACAGUAGUACAAAUUCAGAUCAAGCUCAUAUUAAGCUAUCACAUUUACAUAUCAGAUUUCAUAUCUAAUGUUUACAUGAAAAUAACAAAUUAUUCAGUAACAGAUCAUCAAAUGAUGGUUACAUUGUCCAAUUCAGAUAAAUUGGACCCUACAGUAAGCUUACGUUCGAUUUGAACAACGAUUAUGGCCCUAAGGAAAAAUUUUGAUUUUUGGCACACACGUCCUUAUGGAUUCACACGGCUUGGGUGGCUGGCCUAUGUAGUUCACAUGGCUGUGUGGCUCAAAACAGUGAGGUACACAGUCUAGACACACGCCCUUGUCUCUGGCUCGUGUAUCCCUAAUUUUAAAACAGUGAGUUACACAGCUUGAACACACGCCUAUGUCUUUAACUCGUGUGCCUCUAAUUCCAAAAUAGUGAGUUACACAGCCUAUCACAUGACCCGACACACAGCCAUGUGGCAUCGACAGCUACGUUUUUCGGCCUCUUUCAUUCUCAAGAUUUUGGGUUUUCAUUACACACCUGGUAUAGUUUUGACGUAGAAGCAACAGAGAAGACCCCAAAACCUAAAAACAAAAACCAAUUGUCCCAUCCAUAGAAAUUAACCGAGUCAAAAUGCUAAAUUAACCAAUAAUUCAAAUUACGUUGAAAACUUCGACGCACAAAUUCUAAAACGAAAAUUAUUUGCUUACCAACAAAGAACAGUAACUAAUCGAAACUAAAGUGUUGGAGGAAUGCUCCCCUUGAUAUUCUCGCCUAAAAUAACAAACCAAUUGAGUGAUUAACGGAGAACUUGGAACAAUUGGCAGUAUUAUUCAACCAUAACGAGAGCAAAUGAAAUUUAGUGAAAAUAGAGGAAACAACGACAUCACUUACACUAAUAAUCUUUCAAUUGAACAAAGACAAACGCAAACUCCUCGAUUGUACUUGUCGCAAGACAUAGAGUCAAGCAAAAAGAAAAAAGAACAUAGAGAAAAAGAGGAAACGAUAUUGAAGAAAGAAGAAAGAAAGGAAAAGAAGAAAAAGGAAAAGGAAAAAACGUAAAAAAAAAAGGAAAAAGGAAACAAUUUGAUAAUUUAAAAUAACUAAUUUUUCUUAUAAAUUAGUAAAAGCAAUACGUUCCCUUCUCGCUUAUGUAGAGACUCAAACACAAGACCACAAAGUAUAUAGAAUUUUAACCAUUGAACCAGUAGGCUUAUUCUUGAUAAAAGUUAACGGAGAAUUAAACUUAAGUCUAGAGUUCAAGGAUAUGGGUUAAACCAAAAUAAACAAUAAAAAUUCAAGAAGGGAGACUCAAACCCCUAAUCUCAAACACAUAAAUAGAACAUUUAACCACAUAUACAAAGACUUAAUUAUUGAUAGAAUUUAUCAAACAAAUGUUCAAAAUUUGGGGCGUUACAAUCAUUCUCCAUUUGUUGACAUUAAUAUGAAUAUGCUUUACAUGUGCUUAGAGACUGCCCAUUCGUAAAGGAUGUUUGGCUACAAGUUAUUCCUCAAGGAAAGCAGCGUAUUUUUUUCUCAAGCAACCUAACAGAAUGAGUGAUCUCGAACUUAGAGGACCAUUAUGCCGAAACUCGAGGGAUACUAGUUGGGCCUGCUUCUUCGGAUUAUUAGUGUGGCGCCUUUGGAAAAAUAGAAAUUUUUCUAUUGUCCAAGGGAUUUCUAUGGAUUCAAAUGAAAUUAUCAAAGUGUCUUUUAGUUGGGCCAAUCAAUUUUUCUCAAUUUUUACAGUCAUGUUGAAGAUGAAUUCUAUCUCCAUCUGUGUGCCCUCUUUCCUAGGUACGUGCGUUUACCUCAAUACUAAUGGUGCUAUUAAGACGAACAAUGGUUUAUCUGCUGCAGGUGAUAUGAUUCGAGACGAAAUGGGGAAGUGGAUAUUACGCUACAAUCGGUUCCUAAGGAAGUCUUCAAUUUUUGUUGCCGAGUUAUGGAGAAUUUUGGAUGGUUUGCUCCUGCUUCAAAAGCAAGGGCAUGGUACUUAUUCUAUCAGAUAAUCUAGAGGUAGUCAAAGUCAUUUGUGACCAAAAUUCAAUUGAAUCAAGUAUCUCUCUCGUUAGGAUAAUUCAACAUAUUUUAUCUCAAUAAGAAAGCUUGUUCAUAUGACACAUUCGUAGAAAGGAUAAUCAGGCAGCAGAUACUCUAGCUAAAAUUGCCUUUGCAAACUAGGAAGAAAACCUCGUCAUUGGAAAGUCAAGAAACUUUAGAAGAGGAUAUUGCUAGGGGUACUUUAUUCCUAGUUCUAUUUUGUAAUCUCUUGAUAUUUCUUUAGACUAUUUUUUCACCAAAAAAAAAUAGAGUUAUUACUUGAAUACAAUUCUAAGUAUAUUAAUUAUCACAUAAUUAAUAUUAAACUUAUAAAUUUAUUACUUGAAUAAAUAUCUAAGCAUAAAAUAUAAUAAAAUUUGUAAUAAUUAUAAUUUAAUUUAAUUUAAAAUUAUUAGUUAAAAAUUUGACGUAAAAAAUGUUAUGUUACUUUCUUUUUAAAUUGCACUAAGUUUAUUGAUGUAAAAUAGAGUUAUUAUUUGAAUAGAACUACAAGUAUCUUAAUUAUCACUUAAUUAAUAUUAGAGUUAUAUACCAAUUAAAAUUAAAAUUUAGCUUUAUAAAUAGCAUUCAAUAAUUAGAAAUAAUCAACCAAGUAGCAUCUAAGAAAAAAUACUAAUAAUAAAAUAGAAAUUGUUAGCAUUAAUAAGUUAGAAUUAUAUAAAAAAAAAUGAAGCAUUCAAGCAACAGUUCUUCGAAAAACCAAGCAUUCUCAAAACAAUUUGUUUUUUCUGUGUUAUUUGUUUGAUGCAAGUGAAAACUGUUUUGUGGGUUUAUUUUAAAAAGAAUGUCAAAUUUCAAACAUUAUUUUUAAUUAUUAUUAAAUGUGCUUAUUAUUUUAGUAUAAAUAUAUUUCCUAUUUAUCAUGAUCUAUUAUAAUUGAUGCAUGUAGUUUUACCUUCUUCUUUUUUUUUUCAAAUUAAAAUUAUAGUUUAUUUUCCUAUCUAGUUCACAAUUUGUAUAUUAUUUAAAAAAUAAGAAAAAAUAACAUUAUUAGUAAUAUUUAAAAUAAUUAAAAUAUGUAAUUUAAAAACUUAUUAAAAUAAAACCCUAAAAUCGCACAUUAAAAACUAGUAUAUAUAAAAGCAAGAGUUUGAAAAAACUUUUGAAUCGACGAUAAUACCCUUUAAUUUCCAUCAUAUUACUAAAUCGAUAAUUAAAUAAUUAUAAUUAAAUUUAUAUUUAUUAGUUAACUAAAUAAUAUACACUACUUUAAUAAAAUAGAAUUAUAAAUCAAUAAAAGUCUUAGCAUAAAAUAAUUAAACCAUAAUUUAGGUGCUUUUUCUUUUCUUUUUAUAUAAUUCUUUAAAGGAUAUAUUAUGUUUUUCAACAAUAAAUAAAUUGAGAUAAUUUUAUCUGCUUUUAAAUAGAGUUAUAAUCUCAAUAUAGAGAGAGUUAUGAGUAAGGUUGUUAUAUUUUAAAAAAGAAUUAGUGAUAAUUUUCUUAAUGUUAAGCAUAAAAUAGAUAUUGAUUUUAUCUUUUAAUUCAUAGCUUUUAAUAUCGUUUAUUAGUGCUAUAGUUAUAUACCACUUAAAAUUUAAGUUUGGCUCUAUAAAUAACAUUUAAGUUAAGCAUAUUCAAUCAAGUAAGUUCUAAGAAAAAUCAUUGGUAAAAAUAAAGAAAAUUGUCAAAAUUAAUAAGUUAGAAGUGUCUCGAAGAGCAUUAAACAAAUGAUUUUUCGUAAUGGAAAUAUUGAAUUAUAUUUGAAUGACGAUGAUACGGAAAAUAUAUAGAGAAUUGUAUUAUGAUUUUUUUAAAAUUUAUUUAUAUAGUGCAAAGCAACCUAUACCGCCCUGAAUAACUUAUGCCAUGUUUGGUUGGGUAUAUUGGCAUAGCUAAUACACCCCUAAUCGGUGGGCCCCACUAAUCUCUCUUUAUUCCGUCGUUUGGUUUAAUGUAUACGCGUGUAAUACAUUACUUUUCUAAUCGGUGAAAACCACCGAUUUCUAAUCCCUCUCUUUUGCCCAGAUUAGAUUCCUCUUCAGUUUCCCCUCCCUGUUUUACCCUCUCCCUCAACCUGAAUCCAACUCCAUUUUCUUCUUCACUUUCAACCUAGAUCAAAUCUGCCUCUAUUUCUAAAACUAAAGAGAACCCUUUUUCUUCUUCACCAUCUUUCAUCUAUGUAUCAAUCUUUUCCCUUUGAUGCUUUCAGUUUAAAAGAUCGGGUGGGGACGGUGCUCCAGUUACAAGUGCUCUCACUUGCUCUGCUCUUCUUACUUUACUCAGCUUUGGGUCUUUUAAAUAAUAAGAAAGGUUCAUACUUUUGGCCUGAUCCUGUUCUUGAAUUAGUUCUGCUUUUAGCUUUUGUUGAAUAAUUUUUGUUGUAUUACUUGCAAAGAAAGGAUACAAGUGGGAUUGAGAAUAGAUAUUUUGAUCUUUUAUGUGUUCCCAUAGCAAUUUGUGUGGUUUCAACAAUGUUAGAAUUGAGAUCUAACAGGUCCAUUUACUCGAAAUCGGUACGAGGUAUUGGGUUGAUUUUACACGGAACAUGGUUUGUGCAAAUGGGAUUUUCAUUUUACACUAAUUUGAUGGUUCAUGGAUGUAGCUUACAUGAAAAAAGUAGAGGGAAUUAUACUAUUAAAUGCAGAAGUCACCCUGAUUAUCAUAGAGCAAGGUCUAUUGCCACAUUGCAAUUCAAUUGCCAUCUUGCUUUGCUUGUGGUUCUGGUUGUUGGGAUGUUAUCGCUUAUUGGCAAAAGAAACGGUGUUGCUGUUGGUGCUUCAGGGGAUGGUUUGCGGUAUAAGCCAUUAGGGGCUGAAAUACAGCUAAUGGAUAGUAAUGGGGGGAAUUUCACUUUGGAUUUCGAUGAUGAUCUCGACAGUGGGAUUAAAGAAGAAGAUGAUUUGGUGAAAGAGAAGUCGGCUGUUGUGGAAUUGGGUGGUAAUGGCCAUGCUUCACAUGUCUGAGGUAAACAUUGGUUUCUUUCGGAUAGCUGGGUGAAAAGCAUUGUAAUUUUAUUCUUUUGUAAUGAUAUUAGUGAANNNNNNNNNNNNNNNNNNNNNNNNNNNNNNNNNNNNNNNNNNNNNNNNNNNNNNNNNNNNNNNNNNNNNNNNNNNNNNNNNNNNNNNNNNNNNNNNNNNNAUUGACUUUGCAUAAACUAAAAUAUACCCGUUUGUUUGUUGUUUUGGUCAAUGAGAUUUGAGUUCUAUUUCGUGUUCUAUCUGAUUUUGAUUCUCGUAUGUUAAUGCAGUUUUCGAGUUUAAAAAUUGUAUUGAGUGGUUGCCUAUAUCAUAGUAUUUGACAUGAUUGUAAUUCCUUUGGAUAGUUGAACCUUUUCCAAUAUCUAGUCAUACUUUGGAUAGUUAAAUGGCAUUCGGCACUUGUAUAUAUUUGGAGAGUCAUACUUCAUAGUUCAUGCCCAUAUUUGAAUGAUGUUUAUAUUUUAAAAACUUCUAAAUAAUGUUUAUUUUGCACUGGUUUGUCAUAUUGGUCGGGUAUUUAUUCUAUUCUCAUUUCCUGACAAUUAAGUAUUUAAGUCGUAUCUGCUCUCAGUAGGAUGGCUAUCUUAUGUAGAACAAAUCGGGAUGCUCAUCUUGCAGUUCUUUUUCUUUUCCCUCUAUAUUCCACUGUUCUUUUAUUUCCAAAUAAAUGGCAUUUACUUUGUUGCAAUUAACUCGCAGAUAACUAAGCAAAUUCAGGCUGUUAACGAGGUUUACAAGUUUCACAAUCUUCCCGAGUUCUAUAAGGUCUGUGCCGUUAUAAUUAAUUGCCAAGUCUAAUCAAUAGUUCAUAAAAUACAGAGCAAUGAUCUUAUUCUUUGACAUUGACCCAAAUACCCAACAGGUAUGCUAUGCCUUUACUUUCUACAUCAUUACAUCUAUUCUAACAAAGAAAUUGUUUGGGAUUAAGCUUUGGGUUGUGUUGGCUAUCACUAGAGCUUCUGGAUUGUUAAAGCAAUUACUGGUUUUGAUUAAUUACAUCUAUGGUUUUUCCAAUAGGAGGAUUGAAUUGCUUUGCACGUCAUUAAGGUCUUUCCUUUUAGAGUUUCUAGUUUGCUUGAGUUUAAAAUGUGGAUGUGUUUUAGUAACAUUUUGUCUUUAUAUGUUUCUUACAAAAGUUCCUCUUAUGUGCCUUUUACUUUUGUGAAUCAUGAGGAUAUUGAUGGAACUUGAGCUUCAGUUUAGGUUUCUGGAUUGGAGUGUUUCUCCUUGUAUUAGGGCUGUUAAUACCACCCUGUGUUUAUCUCAAAGCUAAAGAUACGAGGUGUCAAACUACAUUUCUUUCUGCUUUCAUUUAAAUGGGGCCUGCUUGCUACUGCUGCCAUUACUGUGUUGAAAACCUUGUUUCUAUAGGAAGUCUCCAAUGAUACCGUAAUGUUGUUACUGACUAUUAUUGCAGUGAGUGUUGGAGCAUUUCAGAAUUAGUUCGUUUGACUAGUGCUUUUUUUUUGCCUCAUAUUUUGUGUAGAUAGCUGUUCUGACUUGCUUGAGCAUCAUAUGUUUCAUGUAUGUUGAGUGCAUUGUUUCAGUCCCUAUAUUGUGAGCCAAAAAUUGGAGGUUAUGCUAUUUCCCUGUUUAGAAGAAUUCUGGAGAACACUAUGAAUUCUAUUUNNNNNNNNNNNNNNNNNNNNNNNNNNNNNNNNNNNNNNNNNNNNNNNNNNNNNNNNNNNNNNNNNNNNNNNNNNNNNNNNNNNNNNNNNNNNNNNNNNNNNNNNNNNNNNNNNNNNNNNNNNNNNNNNNNNNNNNNNNNNNNNNNNNNNNNNNAUCAAAGCUUCUCAGUUGGUUCUUAAUGCUAUAGAAAUCCUGAAACAGAAGCUGGAUGCAGUUCGCCUGUCUGAGGAUACUGUGGAAGCUGAUGAUCAGUUUGGUGAACUAGGUGCCCAUAUACGAGGAGGAUGAUCUGCUUGUAAUUAUGAACUAGCCAUUGACAUUUGUAGGUUUCAGAAAAGGCGUGUUUACAUCUAACUAACUUCCUUUUGUUUAAAACUCUUGAGAUAUUUUGGGUAGAACAGACUACUUGUUUUCCUCAAUGAAAAUUGUCAGCUAUAUGCCAUCUGUUUUAAACUUAAAAGCCAGCAAAGCAUGGACUGGCAAAUGAUUUAGCCUGUAGCUUAUUACUUUGUCCAAACUAUCAGCCUUUGUAUUUAUGUUUCUGCUUUGUUGUUUCUUCCCACCAGUGAUUCAUCAGUGAGCUUUUAGCUGGUUGAAAUGUAUAGUAGCAUUUCGCUUUUUGCCUCUAUUGUAUGUCGAGAUUAAGUUUCCCUUUGGCUU